GUCUCCAAAAUCUAUAAGAUAAAAAAUUUUUGAUUUUUUUAAGAGUUUUAUUCUCUGGGGACA
rnacentral:tRNA from 1 species